UAGUCAUAGGUGACGUCAACGGACGACAGCUUUGUAGGCAGCAUUCACCGCGUCCGCGGUGUAUCCGAGGUGUCUAGUUCCGUAAAAGGUAUAGGCAAGCGAGUGAGUGCAAGGAGACCACAUAUUUGGUGCAUGAGUUCACUGAAACAGGGUCGUAUUCAUCGGGCGAUAGUGGUACCAGUCCCGUUCGUAUAUACAAGGAUAGACAAGGAAGCAGCUCCGCGUCCAGACAUGAACUUCUUGCAGUUAGUUGCCAUCUUCGGCUUUUUUUGUCUGGCUUGUCACCACAGCUGCAAAACAUACCGGUAAGAGAGAAACCCCCGCUGAGGCCGCUGCCAAGACAGCCGCCGACGCAAAAGCUGCAGCAGACAAGACAGCAGCCGAUGCCGCAGAAGCAGCACGCAAGACAGCCGCCGACGCCGCAGCAGCAGCACAUAAGACGGAAGGAGGCCGUGGUAAGAGAGAAACUCCCGCCGAGGCCGCCGCCAAGACAGCCGCCACCGCAAAAGCAGCAGCAGCCAAAACCAAGGCCGAUGCUGCAGCAGCAGCACGCAAGACAGCCGCGGACGCCAAAGCAGCAGCAAAAAAGACAGCCGCCGGCGCCGCAGCAGCUGCCGGCAGGAACGCCUAGCGCAUCAGCAGCAGCCUCGCAGUAGCAGCAGCCUGGCAUCAGCAGGGGAAGCAGCCUAACAGCAAGGAAAAUGAUCAAUAAACUGGAGGAUCUGCAUAAAAAAAGCUUUGCUGGAAAGUUGAAUUGCCUUUUUUCCCCUA
rnacentral:misc_RNA from 1 species